rnacentral:rRNA from 1 species
ACGGAAGGCAGCAGCUAAGAAUAUUCCGCAAUGGACGAAAGUCUGACGGAGCGACGCCGCGUGGAUGAUGAAGGUCGGAAGGUUGUAAAGUCCUUUAGCAAGUGAGGAAUAAGCGGGAUAGGGAAUGAUCUCGUGGUGACUGUAGCUUGAGAAUAAGGGUCGGCUAAUUACGUGCCAGCAGCCGCGGUAACACGUAAGACCCUAGCGUUAUUCGGAAUUAUUGGGCGUAAAGGGCACGCAGGCGGUUUGGUAAGUCAGAAGUGAAAUACCGGAGCUUAACUCCGGUGCUGCUUUUGAUACUGCUGAACUUGAAUCAGUGAGGGGUGACCGGAAUUCCUAGUGUAGGGGUGAAAUCUGCAGAUAUUAGGAAGAACACCGGUGGCGAAGGCAGGUCACCAGCACAUGAUUGACGCUCAGGUGCGAAGGUGCGGGGAGCAAACAGGAUUAGAUACCCUGGUA